rnacentral:misc_RNA from 1 species
GAUGAAGAACGCAGCGAAAUGCGAUAAGUAGUGUGAAUUGCAGAAUUCAGUGAAUCAUCGAAUCUUUGAACGCACAUUGCGCCCCUUGGUAUCCCGAGGGGCAUGCCUGUUCGAGCGUCAUUUCACCACUCAAGCCUGGCUUGGCGUUGGGCGACGUCCCCUUUGGGGACGCGCCUCGAAACGCUCGGCGGCGUGGCACCGGCUUUAAGCGUAGCAGAAUCUUUCGCUUUGGAAGUCGGGGCCCCGUCUGCCGGAAGACCUACUCGCAAGGUUGACCUCGGAUCAGGCAGGGAUACCCGCUGAACUUAAGCAUAUCAAUAAGCGGAGGA